UACGGGGGGGGCAAGCGUUGUUCGGAAUUACUGGGCGUAAAGGGGGCGUAGGCGGCUUUCUAAGUUGGAUGUGAAAACUCUGGGCUCAACCCAGAGCCUGCAUCCAAAACUGGAGAGCUUGGGUUCUGGAGGGGAAAGCGGAAUUCCUGGUGUAGCGGUGAAAUGCGUAGAUAUCAGGAGGAACACCGGUGGCGAAAGCGGCUCACUGGAUCGAUACUGACGCUGAGGUGCGAAAGCUAGGGUAGCAAACGGG
rnacentral:rRNA from 1 species